rnacentral:lncRNA from 7 species
GAGGAAAAUCUGAGUGUAAUGUGCUGCUAAAUGAGAUGAGCCCCAUAAGGAUUUAACACAAAACCGUGCUUUUUUUUUUUUUUUUUUUUUUUUUAAUUGAUUUGUCUUUGGGUAAAGCUCUACAGGUCCUGGGAGCUGAGAGAGAUCCAGAUGUCGAACACCUGCAGGAACUACUUGCAGGGAACUUUCUUCAUUACCCCUCGGUCAUGACUGUGGAAUUUGAGUUUAUUUAACUUGUGGUCACUUAGCAGCACUCCCCACCAGAGAUGAGUCAGAUGCUGUGCCACUCUCCCAAGGGAAUCUGCUGCAGUUGGGAUCAGAAAAUUAAUGUCAUCCAUCUUGGCACAUGAAGCUUAGAACGUUUUUUCCCAUGCCAUUAAGGGAGAAUGUAAGGAGCACCAUUAGCCCCAGUGGCCUUUCACUGCUUGCAGACCAAAAGUGGAGGUGUUAUCCAGAAUUCAAACCACAGGCCUCUGGAUAUCUCCUUCCGCUCCAAAAUUUGCAGUUACAGAAGAGGCCUUCCUUUAAAAGCUGCAAUUACCUGUGUCAGUAACGUGCCAGCAGUCAGCAGGCUCUGCACCAGCUCCUGGGAAUCUCAUGACUGACCACAUCUGGAAGCCUUCCUUUUGACUUCUGCGCUCCCACACAGCAAGUAAAGCUCCCACAGACUGCACGGCCUCAGUGUGAGGCAGCAGGCAGAGAUGGGAAGGGUGGGCACUUGUCACCCAAAGCUUUAUAAGGAAGAGAACUAAAUACUAUUACCCUUUACUUUGCCUUUUUGAGCACUCCCAACUGAUUCCCAGGAUUCUCUCCCAACAAGUGCUUUGUUUAUUUUUCUUGUUCUUUCUUGUUUGUUGUUGUUGUUUUGUUUGUUUGUUUUCUUUUUGCUUGGAUCAAAUUUUAGUUACCAGCUUACUCUGGACAAACAUGCUUGGCCAUGCUCAUUGAUUGUCUUCCCCUUCAGCAGCACUGGCUGACACAGUACUGUCCACAUCAAAGGAGCUCCCCGUGCAGUGGGGAUGCCACCGGGACAUGCUUGCAUGGGAAGAGGGCUGAGUGAGUGCCUACUCGGUGCACACCACACCCGGUGUCACCCUCCUGUGGGGGCUGGCUUUCACCAGCACUGAAGUGGGCUUAGGUACACUGUCCAUUAGGUUACAAAUUGCUUCUUAGAGUUAUGUCCAUACUAAUGUUACAGAAGAAUAGGAUUGGAAGGAAAAUUGUGUUUUACCUUGAAUUCAUUGUGCAGAAAAAUAGGGAUUAUGAUGUCAAUCUGAUUCAUGGCUUGCUCAUGCUGCUGUCUUUGAUCAAGGAGCAAGGGUCCCUGGACUUGGGAGAAAGAGAGAAAACCUGGUACUAAGUAUUUAUAUGACGAGAUGCUUUGUGGGCAAAAUUCUUCCUAAAAUCAAACUUACUUUUGUAUGUCAGGUUAAUGAAAGAUGAG